rnacentral:rRNA from 1 species
GGUUAAGCGACUAAGCGUACACGGUGGAUGCCCUGGCAGUCAGAGGCGAUGAAGGGCGUGCUAAUCUGCGAUAAGCGCCGGUAAGGUGAUAUGAACCGUUAUAACCGGCGAUACCCGAAUGGGGAAACCCAGUGUGAUUCGUCACACUAUCAUUAACUGAAUCCAUAGGUUAAUGAGGCGAACCGGGGGAACUGAAACAUCUAAGUACCCCGAGGAAAAGAAAUCAACCGAGAUUCCCCCAGUAGCGGCGAGCGAACGGGGAGGAGCCCAGAGCCUGAAUCAGCAUGUGUGUUAGUGGAAGCGUCUGGAAAGGCGCGCGAUACAGGGUGACAGCCCCGUACACAAAAGCGCAUGUGCUGUGAGCUCGAUGAGUAGGGCGGGACACGUGGUAUCCUGUCUGAAUAUGGGGGGACCAUCCUCCAAGGCUAAAUACUCCUGACUGACCGAUAGUGAACCAGUACCGUGAGGGAAAGGCGAAAAGAACCCCGGCGAGGGGAGUGAAAAAGAACCUGAAACCGUGUACGUACAAGCAGUGGGAGCACAGGUUUACCUGUGUGACUGCGUACCUUUUGUAUAAUGGGUCAGCGACUUAUAUUCUGUAGCAAGGUUAACCGUAUAGGGGAGCCGGAGGGAAACCGAGUCUUAACCGGGCGUUAAGUUGCAGGGUAUAGACCCGAAACCCGGUGAUCUAGCCAUGGGCAGGUUGAAGGUUGGGUAACACUAACUGGAGGACCGAACCGACUAAUGUUGAAAAAUUAGCGGAUGACCUGUGGCUGGGGGUGAAAGGCCAAUCAAACCGGGAGAUAGCUGGUUCUCCCCGAAAGCUAUUUAGGUAGCGCCUCGUGAAUUCAUCUCCGGGGGUAGAGCACUGUUUCGGCUAGGGGGCC